rnacentral:rRNA from 1 species
AGUGAACGCUGGCGGUAGGCCUAACACAUGCAAGUCGAACGGCAGCACAGUAAGAGCUUGCUCUUACGGGUGGCGAGUGGCGGACGGGUGAGGAAUACAUCGGAAUCUACUUUUUCGUGGGGGAUAACGUAGGGAAACUUACGCUAAUACCGCAUACGACCUACGGGUGAAAGCAGGGGAUCUUCGGACCUUGCGCGAUUGAAUGAGCCGAUGUCGGAUUAGCUAGUUGGCGGGGUAAAGGCCCACCAAGGCGACGAUCCGUAGCUGGUCUGAGAGGAUGAUCAGCCACACUGGAACUGAGACACGGUCCAGACUCCUACGGGAGGCAGCAGUGGGGAAUAUUGGACAAUGGGCGCAAGCCUGAUCCAGCCAUACCGCGUGGGUGAAGAAGGCCUUCGGGUUGUAAAGCCCUUUUGUUGGGAAAGAAAAGCAGCAGGUUAAUACCACGCUGUCCUGACGGUACCCAAAGAAUAAGCACCGGCUAACUUCGUG